GUCUUUUUGAUAAUAAUUUAAAGUCUAAUCUGCCCUAUGAUUUAUUAAAUGGCUGCGGUAUUUUAACCGUACAAAGGUAGCAUAAUAAUUAGUUUUUUAAUUGGGAACUGGUAUGAAUGAUUGGACGAGAAAAUAGCUGUCUCAAUUUAAUUUUGUUUGAAUUUUAUUUUUAAGUUAAAAAGCUUAAAUUUUUUUAAAAGACGAGAAGACCCUAUAGAGUUUUAUAUAAAUAUAUUUGAUAUUUAGUUUAGUUUUUUUAGAAUUUUAUUUUUAUUUAUAUUUUGUUGGGGUGAUGGAAAAAUUUAGUAAACUUUUUUUAAAAUAUUUAACAUUGGUUUAUGUUUAUUUGAUCCUUUUUUUUGAUUAUAAGAUUAAAUUACCUUAGGGAUAACAGUAAUUUAGCU
rnacentral:rRNA from 1 species